rnacentral:rRNA from 1 species
CGUGGCGAAAGCCAGCGUCGUGAUGGCGAAGCUAUCACCACACUAAUAAAAGUGAUUAACAAACCUCGGGUGUUGGGUGUUGGAAAAUACGCUAGUGGCGAACGGGUGAGUAACGCGUAGGCAACCUGCCCUUGGGAUGGGACAACAGGCCGAAAGGCCUGCUAAUACCGAAUGAAGUGAGUUUAUCGCAUGAUGAGCUUAUGAAAGAUGGCCUCUACUUGUAAGCUAUCACCCAAGGAUGGGCCUGCGUCUGAUUAGCUAGUUGGUGGGGCAAAGGCCUACCAAGGCGACGAUCAGUAGCCGGUCUGAGAGGAUGAACGGCCACAUUGGGACUGAGACACGGCCCAGACUCCUACGGGAGGCAGCAGUGGGGAAUCUUCCGCAAUGGGCGAAAGCCUGACGGAGCAAACCGCCGCGUGAGUGAAGAAGGGUUUAGGCUCGUAAAGCUCUGUUGUUGGGGACGAAGUCCCGGAAGGUGAAUAAUCUUUCGGGGUGACGGUACCCGACGAGGAAGCCACGGCUAACUACGUGCCAGCCGCCGC